ACGGCGCGGCGCGGGGAGGAGGCGGGAUGCUCCCCCAGCAGCCCCUGCCCCAGGGAUGCUGACCCCCCGCGCCCCCCGGAAAGAUGUUUCCGAAAGCUUUCUCUUUUCCCCUGAUUGGUGACCGUGCAAAACUGCAGAGGAAUGCAGGUGGAGGCAGAAGGGACCAGAAGUGCUUCCCACGGCAGAGGAGGGAAGAACAGUAUUUUGGAUUCAGGAAGCUGCUUAGAGGAGCAGGGAAACCACCCGACUUCUCUCUGGUUUUUACACAAAUCUCUGAGAAAUUCCCCUUUCCACAACAUUUUGCUCAGACAGCAAAAGAGGUUCAGCCUGAGAAGGAAGGAGAUAUCUGAUAGCAUAACUUGAUCUGGAGCUCGCUGCUCUGCCCUGCCCCUCACCAGAAAGGACAGUUUCAUGCCCAGGCAGUUGAGCUGCUAAUCCUUAUCUUCUUUUGCAGGUUGAAAUCCCAGUGGGAUACAGUGGUUCCACCACUGAGAGAAACUCAGUGCAAGAUACCCGUGAGGCCUCUGGGGCAACUUUGAAAAGUGAUGUUUUCCUCUGUCUCUGGGGCAUUUUGGAGUCCAGAACACUUAUAUUCAAAACAGGGCACUGGUGACAUCUCCUUUUAGCAGUAUUUUUCCUACUGUUCAGCCUAACUCUUGUGAAGUAAACUGCUCUUCAUCACCA